UACGAAGGGGGCUAGCGUUGCUCGGAAUCACUGGGCGUAAAGCGCACGUAGGCGGAUUGCUAAGUCAGGGGUGAAAUCCUGGAGCUCAACUCCAGAACUGCCUUUGAUACUGGCGAUCUCGAGUCCGGGAGAGGUGAGUGGAACUCCGAGUGUAGAGGUGAAAUUCGUAGAUAUUCGGAAGAACACCAGUGGCGAAGGCGGCUCACUGGCCCGGUACUGACGCUGAUGUGCGAAAGCGUGGGGAGCAAACAGG
rnacentral:rRNA from 1 species